UGACUUAAACCAAAAAGUCAGAUGUAUGAACGGAGUGUUCCAUACGCCAAUUCUUUGCAGAACAAGCAAUUGGGUCAUCGAAAGGGAAUCUAAUCCUGCCUAAGAAUAGGAUACAAAAAGUUAGCACGUCGUAUUCCAAUCUGCUGACUAGUAGUGCUAUUUACUGUGGGUCCCAGGUAUAAUGCGACAUUGGUGUUGGACAGGCACUUAUGUCCUAAACAGAGAAACACACGGAACAGAAAAAAGUAGUGGAAGUGGCAUGUGGGCGUUACCGUGUCGCCAAUAUUGUGUACAAAUGUACCUACUCGAGGCUCAAGUGAGAACAGUCACUUGAUGUCAAGUCAAGCAUAAUAAUCUUUCAAAAAAAUACAAAUAUGCCUUAUUGU